CAUGUUAUCAGGAUAAGUCGUCCGACGUUGUCUCAGGUGUAGUCGUUUUUAGACUCGACCUCUCUUUUUUAUUUCUUCUCUAUUCCUCGCCAGAGAAGCACUUCGCGGCCCGAUUCUGUGUCUUGUGCUCUCGGAAGGCGGGCGAACGUCGGGCUACGCUCGCGAUCGCGGCGGCGAAGGCUAGGGCACGCAGAGGGAACGGAGCACACGAAGAGGAAGGUGGAAGCGCGCGCCUUAGGUAGAAAGGGAGCGAGGUUUAGCGAACCACGUGCGGUUUAGCUUCGAAAUUUCAGAGGUCGAAGGGGGUUUAGCGGUGGUGGGGUUUUGGAUCUUGUCGGCGGCCGCGGCGUAGUUCCUCUACCCAGUCGUCAGGUUUUCCUACACACGUGGCUGCGGAGUCCAGCAGGGCGGUAGCGAUGGAGUUAAGGAAGGCGGCAACUACGGUGUAGAGCAGGGCGGCAGCCGCGGUGUGGAACAAGGCGGCGACAGCCGCGGUGUGGAGCAGGGCGGCGGUGCGGUCGGGCCUGGUCCACGGAGCUAAGGAGGUGUCGGUGGUUUCCGUCGCCGUCGGAGACGUGGUACGACCGAGGGGGUCUGCGUUCCGGGAAACACCAUGUGCUUACAACUACUAGACUUAGGUCUUCGUACCCAUCACCUAAGAGUGGGUGACCACCCAAGGAACCAAAAAAAUUCUUGUGCGGUUCGGAAAGUGUUCGACACUCGUUACCCUGAAAUAGCGUUGUUUAGUUCUUUCCUCUACGGUGGUUACCACCGCUCACACGUUCCUGACUUUUCGCGAACGACACCUGUUUUCUCCUUCUAGAAUCUAAGCAACCACGAACCAACUUAUUAACUUUGCUAGGUUAGGUUAGUUUAAUGUUCUUCUUACUGGUUAUGACCUUACUUCAACGACGACAGAUGUUAUCAUGGUGGGGGGGAGGGGGGGUUUUGUCCCUUUCCGAUCAGUUCGUUCACUUCCUAGCGAAACCCUCUUAAUUCUUUUCCCAACGUACCAAAACACCCUCAAUGUUCCUUCGAUCACGUGACAUACGAUCACCACUUAGACUACGUCUAAAUUUCUUCUCCCGUUACGUUUGAAUACUCCGUCUAGUGGGUCUUCUGCCAGGUAAAUACAAACUCGUAACAACCCAUCAAGAUUUCUCGUUGGUUUUACCCUACGUAUAAACCUUGCGGACCUUAUACACCUCGGCCUGUUCUCCUUCAAAUCACAACUACUACUUCACCCCGUUGCAAAGUGAGAUCUACUACUAUUUCUCCUUGCAGGUGGCCCACCGUUCUGUCGAUUUCCUUUGCUUUUUGUUUCCUGCUUCCAACAUAUUAUCUAGAACUUCUACUCGAAUCGUUCAAAAAUCUACGAGUCUUACGUCGUUUACUUCCGGCGUUUCUCUACAAUCUCUGUGUUUCCGCACACAGGUCACUCUUAGAACUCCGAGCCUUUGAACGUACGGAACGUCGUUUUCUAGUGUUCCUCAGCCAGUACGAUCUUUGUAUGGCGAGGAACUACUACGUUCUGUGUUCAUCCUACAGACUUCUACACUCUAGGCUCGUGUACAACCGUAACUUCACAAAGUCCCUCUUCGAUAAACCUUUUUGACUGGUUCCUGAUACGGCACAGUACCACUGACGACGUACACGUUGGAUGACACCGACUUCUAACAACUACGUCUACCUAAGCAACGAGGUAAAUGGUAGUUUUGAUUACCGAAUAAACGUAACAGAGAACAAACCAAUUACAAAAGAAUUUUUCUGCCCAACAUUACAAAUUCACAGCUACAGUACCACAAUACGCGGUAGUCAAAUAACUAGCAGCCGUAGUUCUAAUUUUGAUUGCCGAACAAACGGCCCGCAGAAUAAAUCAAGAUACAAACCAAUUACGAAGGAACCUUUCUGAGUUCGUUACAAGUUGACAAAACAGUACCACGAUACGCAUGAACAAAGAACG
rnacentral:rRNA from 1 species